ACCCGCUGAACUUAAGCAUAUCAAUAAGCGGAGGAAAAGAAACCAACAGGGAUUGCCUCAGUAACGGCGAGUGAAGCGGCAACAGCUCAAAUUUGAAAUCUGGCCUCUUUGGGGUCCGAGUUGUAAUUUGUAGAGGAUGUUUCGGGUACCGCCCCGGUCUAAAUUUCUUGGAACAGAGUGUCAUAGAGGGUGAGAAUCCCGUCUUGGACCGGCGGUAGGGCCCAUGUGAAACUCCUUCGACGAGUCGAGUUGUUUGGGAAUGCAGCUCAAAUUGGGUGGUAAAUUUCAUCUAAAGCUAAAUACCUGCCAGAGACCGAUAGCGCACAAGUAGAGUGAUCGAAAGAUGAAAAGCACUUUGAAAAGAGAGUUAAACAGUAUGUGAAAUUGUUGAAAGGGAAGCGCUUACAACCAGACUUGAGCGCGGCGGUUCCCCCUUCCUUCUGGUUGGGUUAUUCCGUCGUGUCCAGACCAACAUCGGUUCUGGGGGCCGGUUAAAGGCUCUGGGAAUGUACCUACUCCUUCGGGUGUAGACUUAUAGCCCAGGGUGUCAUGCGGCCUCCCGGGACCGAGGAACGCGCUUCGGCUCGGAUGUUGGUGCAAUGGUUGUCAGCGACCCGUCUUGAAACACGG
rnacentral:rRNA from 1 species